rnacentral:rRNA from 1 species
UACGUAGGGGGCUAGCGUUGUCCGGAAUCAUUGGGCGUAAAGAGCGUGUAGGCGGCCCGGUAAGUCCGCUGUGAAAGUCGGGGGCUCAACCCUCGAAUGCCGGUGGAUACUGUCGGGCUAGAGUGCGGAAGAGGCGAGUGGAAUUCCUGGUGUAGCGGUGAAAUGCGCAGAUAUCAGGAGGAACACCGAUUGCGAAGGCAGCUCGCUGGGACGUCACUGACGCUGAGACGCGAAAGCGUGGGGAGC